CGGGCACUUGGGAAACGGCUUAACCCGCAUGAUUUGGGAUCAUGAGACUCCCGGUUCGAAUCCGGGGUGCCCGACCA
rnacentral:tRNA from 1 species